rnacentral:rRNA from 1 species
GAUGAACGCUGGCGGCGUGCUUAACACAUGCAAGUCGAACGGUGAACGAGGGAGCUUGCUCCUGUGGAUCAGUGGCGAACGGGUGAGUAACACGUGAGCAAUCUGCCCUGGACUCUGGGAUAAGCGUUGGAAACGACGUCUAAUACCGGAUACGAGGCGUGGGGGCAUCCCCAACGCCUGGAAAGAACUUCGGUCCAGGAUGAGCUCGCGGCCUAUCAGGUAGUUGGUGAGGUAACGGCUCACCAAGCCUACGACGGGUAGCCGGCCUGAGAGGGUGACCGGCCACACUGGGACUGAGACACGGCCCAGACUCCUACGGGAGGCAGCAGUGGGGAAUAUUGCACAAUGGGCGCAAGCCUGAUGCAGCAACGCCGCGUGAGGGACGACGGCCUUCGGGUUGUAAACCUCUUUUAGCAGGGAAGAAGCGAAAGUGACGGUACCUGCAGAAAAAGCACCGGCUAACUACGUGCCAGCCGCCGCCGUAAGAC